CGCUAGCGGCAGGCCUAAUACAUGCAAGUCGAGGGGUAUAUUGGUGCUUGCACCGAUAGAGACCGGCGCACGGGUGCGUAACGCGUAUGCAACCUACCUUAAUCAGGGGGAUAGCCCGAAGAAAUUCGGAUUAACACCGCAUAAAAUCACAGUAUAGCAUUAUACAAUGAUCAAAUAUUUAUAGGAUUAAGAUGGGCAUGCGUGUCAUUAGCUAGUUGGCGGGGUAACGGCCCACCAAGGCGACGAUGACUAGGGGAUCUGAGAGGAUGACCCCCCACACUGGUACUGAGACACGGACCAGACUCCUACGGGAGGCAGCAGUAAGGAAUAUUGGUCAAUGGAGGCAACUCUGAACCAGCCAUGCCGCGUGCAGGAAGACUGCCCUAUGGGUUGUAAACUGCUUUUAUCCGGGAAUAAACCUAUUUACGUGUAGAUAGCUGAAUGUACCGGAAGAAUAAGGAUCGGCUAACUCCGUGCCAGCAGCCGCGGUAAUACGGAGGAUCCAAGCGUUAUCCGGAUUUAUUGGGUUUAAAGGGUGCGUAGGCGGCCUGUUAAGUCAGAGGUGAAAGACGGUAGCUCAACUAUCGCAGUGCCU
rnacentral:rRNA from 1 species